rnacentral:rRNA from 1 species
AGUGAACGCUGGCGGCGUGCUUAACACAUGCAAGUCGAACGAGAACGGAUUAUAGCUUGCUAUAAUUGUCAGCUAAGUGGCGCACGGGUGAGUAAUGUAUAGGUAAUAUGCCUUUUACUAAGGAAUAACAAAUGGAAACGUUUGCUAAUACCUUAUACUCCUUAUUAACCUAAGUUAAUAAGGGAAAGAUUUAUUGGUAAGAGAUUAGCCUGUAUUGUAUCAGUUAGUUAGUGGGGUAAUGGCUUACCAAGACUAUGACACAUAUCUGGUUUUAGAGGAUGAUCAGUAACACUGGAACUGAGACACGGUCCGGACUCCUACGGGAGGCAGCAGUGGGGAAUAUUGAACAAUGGACGGAAGUCUGAUGCAGCAACGCCGCGUGGAGGAUGACACAUUUCGGUGCGUAAACUCCUUUUAUAUGAGAAGAUAAUGACGGUAUUAUAUGAAUAAGCACCGGCUAACUCCGUGCCAGCAGCCGCAGUAA